rnacentral:rRNA from 1 species
AAAGAGCGCGUAGGCGGGGUAGUAAGUCAGAUGUGAAAUCCUAUGGCUUAACCAUAGAACUGCAUUUGAAACUACUACUCUAGAGUAUGGGAGAGGUAGGUGGAAUUCUUGGUGUAGGGGUAAAAUCCGUAGAGAUCAAGAGGAAUACUCAUUGCGAAGGCGACCUGCUGGAACAUUACUGACGCUGAUGCGCGAAAGCGUGGGGAGCAAACAGGAUUAGAUACCCUGGUAGUCCACGCCCUAAACGAUGAAUGCUAGUUGUUGUGGAGCUUGUCUCUGCAGUAAUGCAGCUAACGCAUUAAGCAUUCCGCCUGGGGAGUACGGUCGCAAGAUUAAAACUCAAAGGAAUAGACGGGGACCCGCACAAGCGGUGGAGCAUGUGGUUUAAUUCGAAGAUACGCGAAGAACCUUACCUAGGCUUGACAUUGAUAGAAUCUGCUAGAGAUAGCGGAGUGCUGGCUUGCCAGAGCUUGAAAACAGGUGCUGCACGGCUGUCGUCAGCUCGUGUCGUGAGAUGUUGGGUUAAGUCCCGCAACGAGCGCAACCCUCGUCCUUAGUUGCUAACAGUUCGGCUGAGCACUCUAGGGAGACUGCCUUCGUAAGGAGGAGGAAGGUGAGGACGACGUCAAGUCAUCAUGGCCCUUACGCCUAGGGCUACACACGUGCUACAAUGGGAUGCACAAAGAGACGCAAUACCGCGAGGUGGAGCAAAUCUCAAAAACAUCUCUCAGUUCGGAUUGUAGUCUGCAACUCGACUACAUGAAGCUGGAAUCGCUAGUAAUCGUGAAUCAGCCAUGUCACGGUGAAUACGUUCCCGGGUCUUG